UGGGGAAUAUUGCACAAUGGGCGAAAGCCUGAUGCAGCAACGCCGCGUGAGUGAUGAAGGCCUUCGGGUUGUAAAGCUCUGUCUUUUGGGACGAUAAUGACGGUACCAAAGGAGGAAGCCACGGCUAACUACGUGCCAGCAGCCGCGGUAAUACGUAGGUGGCGAGCGUUGUCCGGAUUUACUGGGCGUAAAGGAUGCGUAGGCGGAUUUUUAAGUGAGAUGUGAAAACCCUAAGCUUAACUUGGGGACUGCAUUCAUAUACUGGAAAUCUAGAGUGCGGGAGAGGAGAAUGGAAUUCCUAGUGUAGCGGUGAAAUGCGUAGAGAUUAGGAAGAACACCAGUGGCGAAGGCGAUUCUCUGGACCGUAACUGACGCUGAGGCAUGAAAGCGUGGGUAGCAAACAGGAUUAGAUACCCUGGUAGUCCACGCCGUAAACGAUGAGUACUAGGUGUAGGAGGUAUCGACCCCUUCUGUGCCGCAGUUAACACAAUAAGUACUCCGCCUGGGAAGUACGAUCGCAAGAUUAAAACUCAAAGGAA
rnacentral:rRNA from 1 species